rnacentral:pre_miRNA from 1 species
ACACAAAUCACUGGGGCAUCUUAUUAGAAUGCAGCUCUCCUGCAGAAGAGCUGGAAUGGGUUAAGGCACCAGAGAAGACCCUGUUCUGCACUUGUAAUGAGCUCCCAGGUGAUGCAGAU